rnacentral:rRNA from 1 species
GAGCAGGGCGGGGCGUGCUAUACAUGCAAGUCGAGCGGACAGAUGGGAGCUUGCUCCCUGAUGUUAGCGGCGGACGGGUGAGUAACACGUGGGUAACCUGCCUGUAAGACUGGGAUAACUCCGGGAAACCGGGGCUAAUACCGGAUGGUUGUCUGAACCGCAUGGUUCAGACAUAAAAGGUGGCUUCGGCUACCACUUACAGAUGGACCCGCGGCGCAUUAGCUAGUUGGUGAGGUAACGGCUCACCAAGGCGACGAUGCGUAGCCGACCUGAGAGGGUGAUCGGCCACACUGGGACUGAGACACGGCCCAGACUCCUACGGGAGGCAGCAGUAGGGAAUCUUCCGCAAUGGACGAAAGUCUGACGGAGCAACGCCGCGUGAGUGAUGAAGGUUUUCGGAUCGUAAAGCUCUGUUGUUAGGGAAGAACAAGUGCCGUUCAAAUAGGGCGGCACCUUGACGGUACCUAACCAGAAAGCCACGGCUAACUACGUGCCAGCAGCCGCGGUAAUACGUAGGUGGCAAGCGUUGUCCGGAAUUAUUGGGCGUAAAGGGCUCGCAGGCGGUUUCUUAAGUCUGAUGUGAAAGCCCCCGGCUCAACCGGGGAGGGUCAUUGGAAACUGGGGAACUUGAGUGCAGAAGAGGAGAGUGGAAUUCCACGUGUAGCGGUGAAAUGCGUAGAGAUGUGGAGGAACACCAGUGGCGAAGGCGACUCUCUGGUCUGUAACUGACGCUGAGGAGCGAAAGCGUGGGGAGCGAACAGGAUUAGAUACCCUGGUAGUCCACGCCGUAAACGAUGAGU